UACGGCCAUUUCACAAUGAAACAUCGGUUCUCGUACGAUCCCCGAAGUUAAGCAAUGACGGGUCUGGUCAGUACCUAGAUGGGUAACCUCUUGGAAAUGCU